rnacentral:rRNA from 1 species
AGAACGAACGCUGGCGGCAUGCCUAAUACAUGCAAGUCGAACGAGAUCUUCGGGUCUAGUGGCGCACGGGUGCGUAACGCGUGGGAAUCUACCCUUGGGUUCGGAAUAACAGUUGGAAACGACUGCUAAUACCGGAUGAUGACGAAAGUCCAAAGAUUUAUCGCCCAGGGAUGAGCCCGCGUAGGAUUAGCUAGUUGGUGAGGUAAAGGCUCACCAAGGCUACGAUCCUUAGCUGGUCUGAGAGGAUGAUCAGCCACACUGGGACUGAGACACGGCCCAGACUCCUACGGGAGGCAGCAGUAGGGAAUAUUGGGACAAGUGGGGGCAACCCUGAUCCAGCAAUGCCGCGUGAGUGAUGGAAGGCCUUAGGUUGUAAAGUCUACUUUUACCCGAGUAUGAAUAGUGACAGUAUCGGAGAAUAAGCUCGGCUAACUCCGUGCCAGCAGCCGC